rnacentral:rRNA from 1 species
AUACGGAGGGUGCAAGCGAUAUCCGGAAUCAUUGGGUUUAAAGGGUCCGUAGGCGGACUAUUAAGUCAGAGGUGAAAUCCCACAGCUCAACUGUGGAACUGCCUUUGAUACUGGUAGUCUUGAGUUAUAUGGAAGUAGAUAGAAUGUGUAGUGUAGCGGUGAAAUGCAUAGAUAUUACACAGAAUACCGAUUGCGAAGGCAGUCUACUACGUAUAUACUGACGCUAAGGGACGAAAGCGAGGGGAGCGAACAGGAUUAGAAACCCGAGUAGUCC